rnacentral:lncRNA from 1 species
AUGCCGGCCCAACAUGGCGGCCUUCUCUCCCCAGCCCACCAGCAGCACCUGAGGAGGAUGCUGGGAGAGCUGAGGGUGCACAAUGCGCAUGCUCCUGAGCCCAAAUCUCGGGAGCCCGCUGGAAUCUCACGGAGUCUGCACGGUGGCCGCCUGGGCUCAGUGGGCGGGGACUUCGCAGGAGAAGCAGCCGAGGGAAGAGCCGCAAGAUGGGUACGAGGGAUGGAGGGGUCCUGUGGGCGCGUUUUCUUUGAAGCAAGUAGAAGCUCUGCAUCUUGUGAUAAGUCUCUGAAGUACAGUGGAAAUGAGAAUCUGGCAAACACCUCUAAUGAAGUAAGAAAUCAUUUGAAUUAUUUUUGUUUGUUUGUUUAGGUAAAAUAUAAAUGAUUGUAAUGUUGACUAGAACAAAAUUCAGCAUUUAUUUUAUCAAUACCCUUUCUGACAAUGCAUUUUUUAAUAUAAGAAACAACAGAGCCUACUCUCCUAAAAAAAGGAAAAGAAAAAAGAAAAAAAAUAAGUAAACCAAAACAGGUAUGGCAAAUAUUAAGAACCUUACUUAAAUUCUAGAUAAAAAAGGGGAAACAUUUACUGUUGAUGCUUCAUACAUAGUAAAAUUUCAAUACAUUUUGUCAAUUAAAAUACUAAACAAACAUUGCUACUUUAUCUUAUCACUAUUACAGUAAACUGGAAUUAACUUUAGAUCAAAAAUCAAUUUAUUAGAAUAAUUUGUUAAAUGUUUGAUUCUCUAAAGGCCUGUUUAUACUCCUUCUGGUGAUUUUUGUCUUGCAUAAAUUCAUGACUCUACAAUUUACAGUAAUGUUACAUUAUAAGUAAUACAUUUUGAAAUCAAUGGUCCGUAUUCAAAAAUGACCUUUUUCACAUGUAUCCAGCCUUCUGAGUUACUGAUUAAUUGAUUAAAAUCCAUCUGUAAUCUUUCUAAAACAGGAAUUAAGGUGGUUCAUCUGUUUCUUGGGGUGGCUUUCUUGAACUUGGCCAAAAAUUCCAAAUUUUUUGACUAGUAGGUCUCAGUAUUAAACUAUGGCCACAAAACAUAUAUGUAUUCCUCUUUUUCUCUCUACCUCUCUUACUUUUUCACUUCCUCCCACUUUCCCUCCCACUAUCUAUGCAAAGCUCUCUAGCUCACUGAAAGAAUGUUUGAAUAACAUGGCACUCUAGCCUAAAGUCUCUAGAAGUAUGUAUAUAUUCCAGCAAAUCAAGAUCUUCUUUGAAGGGCAUGUGAUUUUACCCUAAUUGCAAGCUAACAAGUGGGCCUCCCAGUUUCAUAGGUAUUGAUAGAAGAUACAAGACUCUUGACACAGAGACAAAGGACUUUAUUACUUGCAAUAGCGCAGACACCAUUAACUUCAUGUUUGCAUUGUUACCCGAGUCCCAUAGGCCUGGGUGAAGGGCAACCAAGGAGGAUGUGUUAAGACAGUAGGGUUUAUGUCACAACUGAGGCAACAUGAACUUAGGAAACCUCAUUCCUUUAAAGUGGCUGUAAGCAAACCUGUUCAACCUUUGCCACAAACAGAAGUAUCUCUUUAUUAUCUUGGAAUGGAAACAAAUAGCUAAUGGUUAUUCCCCAGACAAGUAUCCUUGAAAAGAUAGUCCAGGACAAAAGGUAUCACAGGACAUGUGGAAAUGGGAGAGAUGCUAAGAGAAUUUUGUUUUUCUUCUUUUUUUUUUUUUUUUUUUUUUUUGUUUAAGAUUAUUUACUUAUUCAUGAGAGGCAGAAACAGAGGCAGAGGGAGAAGCAGACUCCCUGUGGGGAGCCCAAUGCGGGACUCAUCCCAAGACUCUAGGACCAUUCCCUGAGCCAAAGGCAGACGCUCAACCACUGAGCCACCCAGGCGUCCCUAAGAGAAUUUUCUUAUAAUGCCCAACAAGUAGUGGCAGACAUGGUCCUUCCUAUUAGUAAGAGUGUAUGAGCAUGCAUUUAUGUCCUCUGGUGUAUGUUUGGAUGCCAUUUUCAUCUUAAGCAAAAAUAAUUGAAAUGCAGAAGUAUAAUUAAUCUAAAGUUGCUAUGAAAAAACUGGCAGAGAUGAAAUAGUAAUGCCCAGUGCUGGUGAGAAUGUAGAAAACAGGUACUUCUACUGCCAAUGUUAGUAUAAUUGGGCACAUUUUUUAACUGGCAAAUUUGUUAUUUGUAUCAGAAGUCUUAAAAUUCGUGUGACAAAAGCUCUGAAACUUUUUCCAAACAAAUCAAUGCAGUUGUGGACCAAAACAGGAAUAUUUAUUAGUUCCAUUGUCUAUAAAAACAAAGUAAGAAUGACAUCAUAAAUAAAAAGAGGAUGAUUUAAAGAAAUUCUAGUUCA